AUUUUCAUAUUUUAAAAAUAAAUUCAAAACCACACAUAUUCACCCAGCAUUUUGAUGUUUCUCACUUUCUGAAAACCUUAUGCAACUAAAAUAUAUCCAGUAUGAAUUUUAAUCCAUUUUGACAUCGAAGAUAUAUUCUUCUAUACACUUGAUUACUGAUGAAAUUAUAUACUUUGGCAAGGUCUCUUAACUAGCUUUUAAAUUUGAAUAAUUUAAAAUAAAAACAUCUGAAUUAAACAAAUGAAACACUCCACGAAAUCCUGACUAAGCUUCAGCAGUUUUAAACAAGACUUUUAAUUCGUUUUCCAUAUUCCCAAAUCACAUGCACAAAAUAAUGCCCCUGUUAGGACUUCUGCUUUCUGAAACUCUUUGUUUACCUCUGUUAUUUGCUGUUGCUUUAUUUAUAUUAUCUAAUAGUGUGUGCAUUUAUAAUACAGCAGCUAAAGACAAUGAGGAGCACUGGUAAUUAAACAUGAGAAACAAAAUCUUUGCGCUUCUUUCAUGUUCUUCAAUACCUGUCUAGGAAAAGCCCAGAAGAAAUCCACAUUAGAAAGGCAUAGAGGAAAGCUGUCAAAGAUUCUGACUAGGCAAAGAAAGGACCCAGAAAACCUAGCUGCACAAAUAUUUGCACUAUGGGAAUGUGGACAUAUACUGUUACUGAAGAGAUGUUUUAACCAAAAUAUUUAUGCAAGACAACUAAAAAGAAAAGUGGCAAACUGGAGCUGAUACCUUUCCUUAGUCUUCCGUACUUUCCAGAAUCAUUGAUUCUGAUGAUUAUCCAUCUUUCUUAAGUCUAAGACAUUCAAAAUGUUAAGCAUUCUCAGCUACAAUCUUUCAUGAGAAUUAAAAAUUGCUUCAUAUACCUCAGCGGAACAGUAGCCAUUUUGCAGAAUCUCACUUUUAAAUGCAUGCUAAAAUGGAAAAAAAAAGUGAAACAAUAAUGAGAAUCCUAUGCCACAUAACUAAAACUCUUGAAAUUUCAUAGCAGAGAAGAAAGCGAGAUGUUGCUAUCUUUACUAUACUUCAUGGUAUAUGUGGGCAUCAAGAGAAUUUGAAGCAUGAAAGCCUGUAAUCAUCUCUGUGAUUUUGAAGAAUACUAUGAGGAUUAUAAAAUAUAAGACCUAUUGAUUUAAUAGGUUUCAAACACAGGCAACAAAUACAAACAAGACAAUCAAUACUUUCAAAAAUAAAUGUUGUGAAAUACAGCUAUCUAAGAAUCACAGGGUGCAGUAGGACGACAGAAUACAGACCAGCUCAACAGCUCCCCUGGAAGGGCUUCCAGAAGAGCAGGAUGCAAGAUCCUAAGGUAAUCAGUAACUCUGUAACAUUUUCAACUUUUCCUCGUCUACAAGGAAAAGGGGAAGAUAGUGUUUCCAAUGCUACCAUGUUGCAGUGAAUUAAUCUCUCUACCACAGUUUCCAUCUGCCUCUUUCUGCGGUUAAUGUUCCUUCCGAGUCCUAUUUCUGCUAAUUAAAGAGGGUGCACCAGCCUAAAGUGAGCUUUGGUAUAGCAUGUUAACUAUCAUGGUUUUUAUUUGCUGCAUAUGAAAAUGGUUCAGUGAUGGAAUCCGUAUCUUUUGGAGGAUUCACAAGUAAAUACUUCAAAUAUGUGUUACAAAUCUAGUCCACAGAUGUUCUCUUUGCUGUAAAGAGAGCAUCUUCCCUCAAGAUGUUAGCUUCUGACUGCAAUACCACUGCCACAAAACUCAAAUGGUUAACAGUAAUGUUUGUCCCAAAUUAUUUCGUAUUGUCACUCAUACUUAAUAAUGAACUCAUGGAGAAAAUAAAGAGGAGGGUGGACACGCCCAGCAGUCUAAAGUGAAAUGCAAGGCAACAGGAAAUAGAAAAGGAAACAAAAAGCAAAGGAAGACUGAAUAUUUCAUAAACUAAAAAAAUUAGGGAGGGGGGAAUAAAUAAAUCCUCAAAAGAAUAGUAUACAAAGACCUUCACAAUCCAAACUGCAAGACCACCCAUUAAUUGCCGACAGGUAAAUACUACUAAUAUAUUCCCAAAAGUGCAAAGAUCUAGAAAAACCAAAGGUAUCAUCCUGCAGAUAGUGGAUGAAACUGUUAAACAUGAAACUACAAGUCAGAUUAUGCAACUGUAAAAUGAACGUUCAGGUUAUUCCACAACUUAUUUGUAAGAGAAACCUUAAAAAUUAAUGCUCAUAUUUUAAGACAUGUAUAAGAAAUUGAAAACAAAUGCAGCAAGACUGCCACAAUUUAAUGUUUAAAAUGAAAAGUGUAAUGAAAUUUGCUUCCAUCUCCCUAUUGACAGAGAAGACUAAUCUCCAGGGUUCUGGGCCAUGUGGAUUUCAUAUCAAAUGACAAACUGAAUUCAAGUUAAAUCCAACAAAAGCCAAGUAGGCUUCUUUUCAAAUAAUGUACUGUAGGAGGAAAGUGAAACAGUUGACCUCAUUCAGGUAAGAAACAUAGAAAGCUAGACAGUAAUUAGUGCAUGCCAAGAAACAAAUAAAAAGCAACUAGCUUUGGACAAGCAUAAUCAACUUACUGCUUUUCAGAAGAAGAGCCAGCCUGGAAUCUUAUUCACUGAAAUAAACACCAAAGUUGUAUUAACUUUGCUUAGAGCAGAGUAUCAAAGCCAGGUUCUGUUCCAAGCCAGAAAUGUACCAACACAAAGUUAUAUUUUUAUUGAGGUAAACAGAACAUAACAGAAAAAGUUGGUAUUUAGAUCCAGGCUUAAAGCAAGGAAAAACUUUAGACAGAAGUUUGGCUAUAGCUACUAUGAGAACUGGAAAGAUGUAAACUCAGCACAACUCUCCCAAGAUAGAGAGAAAGAAGAUACAAGAAAAAAGCAAAAGUAUAAUCAAGCACUUCACAUACAUUCAUUUUAGAUUAUGUAGAAAUUCAAUUAAAUUUUUGCAAAAACCUCAUGACAUCAUCCAUGACAUGCUGGAUGAUGCUAAAUAUACAAGUUUAAGUAGUAAAGUAAGUAGAAGUAAAUAUACUUGCAUUAUUUUCUCUAGAGCUGUAUUUCUACAAGUAAAUUAAUUACUUCAACAAGUUUAAUGGCUGCUGCUAUUGCUGGCUGUUGCAUUCAUACCAAUUUGGUAAGAUACCUGCUGCAGUGACAGGUGGUGAAGUAAUGCUUUUGCUUUCAAGUAUUUCCACUAUCACCCCUAAAUGUUACAUCUUUUAUGUACUGGAAUCCAGGGCUCUUUCAAAGACCUGACGGGAGAAAACUAAGUAAAGCAACAUACAUAUCUGAACGGUGCACAAAUGUCUGCAAGUAUUAUAUAUCCAACAUGUUUACAUGGCUGUAAUAUUUGAAGAAAAAGGAAAUCCUGAGCAGAAUUUAAACCCAUACUCAGAUCCACCAUCCCAUAACUAAUGACACUUUAUUGCGUUUAGAAAAAAGGUGGAUCCAAUAGGCAUUGGAAGCUGCAAGAUGCAAAUGAUGCAGUAAACUUACUGGAGUUUAAUUAUGGCACUGGAGUAACUUAUCAGAAAGUCAGCUAUCCAAAACAUUUUGAGUUACUAGAAAAAUAGUACUUUCCAGAGACCGAUGGGAACUGAAAAACUUUUUAGCACAACUGGAGAGAGUUUUUAGCAGACAAGCAAAAUAUUGAGGACCAUGCUAGAAUCCCAGAGGUACCUCUGCCAGUUCGUCAUACUCAUUAUAAAUUAGCA